CUGACCUAAAGUGUUAAAUACAAAAUGUUCAUUUCUUUAAUAUAAAUCUAGAAACCCAUCUAAUGUUAAUGUAUUAAUGAAAAUUCAGACUUUCAAAAUGCUAUAAAGGAAGCUAAAGAGAAUCUUAAUUCUUCUAAAUCCAACUUCUGUUUAAUAAUAUUCCCUUGAGAAAAAUACUAAGUCUGAACAAAGCGAUAAAUAAUCAUUGCUUCCCUGCCUCACCAUUUGGUUUUGUCAAGAUAGGCCACUUUUUCAGAACAGGAGCCUUAGGAGAAGGGACCAGUGGAAAAGAGUCUGGGGCUCGAGGCCCACCUCACAAUUUACCAGCUGUAUGGUCAAGUCACAUAAGCACUUACUAUCAGCAGUCAUACCUGUAAAAUAGUUUCUUACAUUUCUGUUCAAAGGCAGGAAGUCAGACCAGAUGAACAAGGUUUUGUUUUAUUCUAGAGCCUUCUGAAUACAAUUUUUCUACAGUUAUCAGACACCACAACACACCUUUGCUCCUGUUCUCCUAGAACUCAAUCAUGUGUGCGGUGGUGUGCAGUAGAGGAUUCAUCUUGUACAAAGAGAGGUUUGGUCUUUGUCCUUGGCUCCUAGAAGGUAAUCACUAAGUCCUUGAAAUGUCCUGCCCAGUAAGAAUGCCUCUGUUUACCUGGCAGGGGGCUUGGGUCACAAUGGAUAGCCUAACAAUGGGAUUUACUGUGGGGGCUUUGGGCCCCAGGGUAACAGCUCAACCUCUGGAGGCACUGGAGACAAAGAUCAGCCACAUGGCAGUCAACCAUGUCUAUGUGACCAAGUUCCAAUGAAAACUCUGGACACCAAGGCUUGGAUGAGCUUCCCCAGUUGUACAUGCAGUGAUUUAUACACUUGAGAAAGAAAGAAAACAACUGUGUAAGCAGACAUCAGUGUAAACCCUAGCACUGUCUUAAGAGGAGGAUGGCAGUGACAGGAGUGUGGUGGCGAGCCAGUCAUCUGCAGUCAACCACGGCUCAUUGCUCUCACCAUGCCUGUUACAUGAAGGAGCAAAACCAGCUAGCAACCUCCAACUAAGAAGGAUAUUACGUGUGAAGCAUUUCAUUUUGCUGAAUCCCGUGGGGUUGGAAUGACUGUUCUCAUUGCACAGAAGAGAAGCAAGCACAGACAGUUUAGCAAUUUGUCUGAGGACACGAUACUAGAGUCGGUGGCUCAAGGAGAGAGAAUCAUUCAGGAAACUUUUCUGGCAGACACUUCUCUUGUCUAUGGACUUCAUUACUUCACAGGGAUGGAGCAGGCGGGUAUGGAGGUGGCAAUAUGAGUAAAGGCUUCAUGGACAUUACUACCACUA